UACGUAGGGGGCAAGCGUUGUCCGGAUUUAUUGGGCGUAAAGCGCUCGCAGGUGGUCCGAUACGUCGUGCGUGAAAGCCCCCGGCUCAACUGGGGAGUGUCGUGCGAUACGGUCGGACUGGAGGCCAGUAGGGGGAUGCGGAAUUCCGGGUGUAGUGGUGGAAUGCGUAGAGAUCGGCAGGAAGACCAAGGGGGAAGCCAGUCACCUGGGCCCGCGCUGACACUCAUGGACGACCGCGUGGGGAGCGAACCGG
rnacentral:rRNA from 1 species